GCUGGGGUUGUGGCUCAGUGGUAGAGCACUUGCCUAGCAUGUGUGAGGCCCUGGGUUUGAGUCUCAGCACGGCA
rnacentral:tRNA from 1 species